GACGAACGCUGGCGGCGUGCUUAACACAUGCAAGUCGAACGGAAAGGCCCUGCUUUUGUGGGGUGCUCGAGUGGCGAACGGGUGAGUAACACGUGAGUAACCUGCCCUUGACUUUGGGAUAACUUCAGGAAACUGGGGCUAAUACCGGAUAGGAGCUCCUGCUGCAUGGUGGGGGUUGGAAAGUUUCGGCGGUUGGGGAUGGACUCGCGGCUUAUCAGCUUGUUGGUGGGGUAGUGGCUUACCAAGGCUUUGACGGGUAGCCGGCCUGAGAGGGUGACCGGCGACAUUGGGACUGAGAUACGGCCCAGACUCCUACGGGAGGCAGAAGUGGGGAAUAUUGCACAAUGGGAGGAAGCCUGAUGCAGCAACGCCGCGUGCGGGAUGACGGCCUUCGGGUUGUAAACAGCUUUCGCCUGUGACGAAGCGUGAGUGACGGUAAUGGGUAAAGAAGCACCGGCUAACUACGUG
rnacentral:rRNA from 1 species